CCCAAAAUAUCUUCCUAAUUAGUAGGUAAAAUAAAUCCAUGGUCAUUAUAGUAUAUACUUAAAAUAUAUAUGCUUAGAAAUGGCUAAAAAUUUAAAUAUGGCUUAAAGCAAAUAAACACAAAGAGGAAAAACUUUGGUCUUUUUAAAGAUUAAAGUAGGCUAGUCUUUAAUUACCUAAAAGCUAGUAUACUGCCUUGAAAUGUGGACAUAUAUGCCACUUUAAAUAUUUUAAUUGCAUCUUAAUGAAAUUACAUAUUUUUUUGUAGAUUUAUUUCAGUACUGUUGAAUGUAUAUCUUUAUU
rnacentral:lncRNA from 1 species